rnacentral:piRNA from 1 species
UUGAUCUGCCUCUAUACUAAU